AUGAAGGUUGGAGAAGACCUCCAAGGUCAUCCAGUUCAACUCCAACCCCAACCCACCCCACCAUGACCUAAAAUGGAACCACUGUGUCAUCAAGCUUGGAAGAGAUCUCCAGGAUCCCCAAGUUCAACCCCAACCAACCCCACCAUGACCCUAAAUGGAUCCAUAGGGUCAUGAAGGUUGGAGAAGGCCUCCAAGGUCAUCCAGUUCAACUCCAACCCCAACCCAUCCCACCAUGACCCUAAAUGGAUCCAUAGGGUCAUGAAGGUUGGAGAAGGCCUCCAAGGUCAUCCAGUUCAACUCCAACCCCAACCCAUCCCACCAUGACCCUAAAUGGAUCCAUAGGGUCAUGAAGGUUGGAGAAGACCUCCAAGGUCAUCCAGUUCAACUCCAACCCCAACCCACCCCACCAUGACCUAAAAUGGAACCACUGUGUCAUCAAGCUUGGAAGAGAUCUCCAGGAUCCCCAAGUUCAACCCCAACCCACCCCACCAUGACCCUAAAUGGAUCCAUAGGGUCAUGAAGGUUGGAGAAGGCCUCCAAGGUCAUGCAGUUCAACUCCAACCCCAACCCACCCCACCAUGACCCUAAAUGGAUCCAUAGGGUCAUGAAGGUUGGAGAAGGCCUCCAAGGUCAUCCAGUCCAUCCCCAGCACACACCCCCAUCACAAUAACAGACCCACAGAGUCAUCAAGGUUGGACAAGACCUCCAAGAUCCCCGAGUCCGGAGGU